UACGUAGGGUGCAAGCGUUGUCCGGAAUUAUUGGGCGUAAAGAGCUCGUAGGCGGUCUGUCGCGUCUGCUGUGAAAAUCAGGGCUCAACCCUGGACCUGCAUUCGAUACGGGCAGACUAGAGUUCGGCAGGGGAGACUGGAAUUCCUGGUGUAGCGGUGAAAUGCGCAGAUAUCAGGAGGAACACCGGUGGCGAAGGCGGGUCUCUGGGCCGAUACUGACGCUGGAGGCGCGAAAGCCUAGGGGAGCAAACGGG
rnacentral:rRNA from 1 species